GAUGAAGAACGUAGCAAAAUGCGAUAAGUAAUGUGAAUUGCAGAAUUCAGUGAAUCAUCGAAUCUUUGAACGCACAUUGCGCCCGCUGGUAUUCCGGCGGGCAUGCCUGUUCGAGCGCCAUUUCAACCCUCAAGCCCCCGGGUUUGGUGUUGGGGAUCGGCUCUGCCCUUCUGGGCGGUGCCGCCCCCGAAAUACAUUGGCGGUCUCGCUGCAGCCUCCAUUGCGUAGUAGCUAACACCUCGCAACUGGAACGCGGCGCGGCCAUGCCGUAAAACCCCAACUUCUGAAUGUUGACCUCGGAUCAGGUAGGAAUACCCGCUGAACUUAAGCAUAUCAAUAAGCGGAGGA
rnacentral:misc_RNA from 1 species